rnacentral:rRNA from 1 species
CCUACGGGUGGCUGCAGUGAGGAAUAUUGGUCAAUGGACGCAAGUCUGAACCAGCCAUGUAGCGUGCAGGAAGACGGCUCUAUGAGUUGUAAACUGCUUUUGUACGAGGGUAAACGCAGACAUGCGUACCUGUCUGUAAGUAUUUUACGAAUAAGGAUCGGCUAACUCCGUGCCAGCAGCCGCGGUAAUACGGAGGAUUCAAGCGUUAUCCGGAUUUAUUGGGUUUAAAGGGUGCGUAGGUGGUCGGUUAAGUUAGAGGUGAAAUCUUGAGGCUCAACCUCGGAAUUGCCUCUGAUACUGUUCGGCUAGAGAACAGUUGCGGUAGGCGGAAUGUAUGGUGUAGCGGUGAAAUGCUUAGAGAUCAUGCAGAACACCGAUUGCGAAGGCAGCUUACCAAGCUACUUCUGACAUUGAGGCACGAAAGUGUGGGGAUCAAACAGGAUUAGAUACCCGAGUAGUC